rnacentral:rRNA from 1 species
GGAUUAUCCCCCACACUGGAAUUGAGACACGGUCCAGACUCCUACGGGAGGCAGCAGUAAGGAAUAUUGGGCAAUGGAGGCAACUAUGACCCAGCCAUGCCGCGUGCAGGAAGACGGCCCUAUGGGUUGUAAACUGCUUUUAAUAGGGAGUAAUGUUAGUUACGAGUAACUAAUUGCAAGUACCUAUAGAAUAAGGAUCGGCUAACUCCGUGCCAGCAGCCGCGGUAAUACGGAGGAUCCAAGCGUUAUCCGGAUUUAUUGGGUUUAAAGGGUGCGCAGGCGGACUAAUAAGUCAGUGGUGAAAUCUACAUGCUUAACAUGUAAUGUGCCAUUGAUACUGUUAGACUAGUAUGCAAAUGACGUAGCUGGAAUGUGUUACGUAGCGGUGAAAUGCUUAGAUAUAACACAGAACACCGAUCGUGAAGACAGGUUACGAAUUUGUUAUAGACGCUCAUGCACGAAAGCGUGGGGAUCAAACAGGAUUAGAUACCCUGGUAGUCCACGCUGUAAACGAUGAUAACUUGUUGUUGGGCACAUAGUGCUCAGUGGCUAAGCGAAAGCGAUAA